rnacentral:lncRNA from 1 species
AAGUGAGAGAGAUAAAAGCGAAGGUACCUUGACAACACGUAAGGAUUGAGGGCAGCGACCCCCUUCUAUUCCAAAAUUUGCCAAAAUUUGUAAUUGGCUCCAAUUUGAAUGAUUCUUAUCUUAUUACAAGGCUAACUUAAAGGCGCUUUUGAUCCAAUAACCCUCAUUGCAAUCUAAUAAUCCAGUCGUGAGAAUUUCUCCUUUGAAGUUGAGUGAUCCAAACUGCUGCGGUGACCAAUCCUCUUCACUCAGAAAUUCACUAAAAAUUC